rnacentral:lncRNA from 1 species
UGAUUUUAAAGUGAUAUCAAGUAUGCAGAUUUUUACUAUAAAAGUUAGAGGAUCGACUAUCUCGACAUCGAAUAUACUUCAAUUUUCACUGUAAAAAUCAAAAGAUCAACCAUCUCAACACCGAAUAUACUUCAGCUUUCACUGUAAAAGUCAGAAGAUCGACUAUUUAGACACCGAAUAUACUUCGACUUUCACUGUAAGAUCAGAGGAUCGACUAUCUCG